UCACUACUUGCGUAGGCUGUCCGGUGUAGUCUAGCCCAGGUAAGGUUCUUCGCGUUGCGUCGAAUUGAACCACAUGCUCCACCGCUUGUGCGGGCCCCCGUCAAUUCCUUUGAGUUUUAACCUUGCGGCCGUAGUCCCCAGGCGGGGCACUUAAUGCGUUAGCUGCGGCACCCGGGGGGUCAAUACCCCGGACACCUAGUGCCCAUCGUUUACAGCGUGGACUAC
rnacentral:misc_RNA from 1 species